rnacentral:rRNA from 1 species
UACGGGGGGGGCAAGCGUUGUUCGGAAUUACUGGGCGUAAAGGGCUCGUAGGCGGCCAACUAAGUCAGACGUGAAAUCCCUCGGCUUAACCGGGGAACUGCGUCUGAUACUGGGUGGCUUGAAUCCGGGAGAGGGAUGCGGAAUUCCAGGUGUAGCGGUGAAAUGCGUAGAUAUCUGGAGGAACACCGGUGGCGAAGGCGGCAUCCUGGACCGGCAUUGACGCUGACGGCGCGAAAGCCAGGGGAGCAAAGCGGG